rnacentral:rRNA from 1 species
GCUAUCUGCAGUCGAGCGGACAGAUGGGAGCUUGCUCCCUGAUGUUAGCGGCGGACGGGUGAGUAACACGUGGGUAACCUGCCUGUAAGACUGGGAUAACUCCGGGAAACCGGGGCUAAUACCGGAUGGUUGUUUGAACCGCAUGGUUCAAACAUAAAAGGUGGCUUCGGCUACCACUUACAGAUGGACCCGCGGCGCAUUAGCUAGUUGGUGAGGUAACGGCUCACCAAGGCAACGAUGCGUAGCCGACCUGAGAGGGUGAUCGGCCACACUGGGACUGAGACACGGCCCAGACUCCUACGGGAGGCAGCAGUAGGGAAUCUUCCGCAAUGGACGAAAGUCUGACGGAGCAACGCCGCGUGAGUGAUGAAGGUUUUCGGAUCGUAAAGCUCUGUUGUUAGGGAAGAACAAGUACCGUUCGAAUAGGGCGGUACCUUGACGGUACCUAACCAGAAAGCCACGGCUAACUACGUGCCAGCAGCCGCGGUAAUACGUAGGUGGCAAGCGUUGUCCGGAAUUAUUGGGCGUAAAGGGCUCGCAGGCGGUUUCUUAAGUCUGAUGUGAAAGCCCCCGGCUCAACCGGGGAGGGUCAUUGGAAACUGGGGAACUUGAGUGCAGAAGAGGAGAGUGGAAUUCCACGUGUAGCGGUGAAAUGCGUAGAGAUGUGGAGGAACACCAGUGGCGAAGGCGACUCUCUGGUCUGUAACUGACGCUGAGGAGCGAAAGCGUGGGGAGCGAACAGGAUUAGAUACCCUGGUAGUCCACGCCGUAAACGAUGAGUGCUAAGUGUUAGGGGGUUUCCGCCCCUUAGUGCUGCAGCUAACGCAUUAAGCACUCCGCCUGGGGAAGU